rnacentral:rRNA from 1 species
CAGCAGCCACGGGAAUACGUAGGUGGCAAGCGUUGUCCGGAAUUAUUGGGCGUAAAGGGCUCGCAGGCGGUUUCUUAAGUCUGAUGUGAAAGCCCCCGGCUCAACCGGGGAGGGUCAUUGGAAACUGGGAAACUUGAGUGCAGAAGAGGAGAGUGGAAUUCCACGUGUAGCGGUGAAAUGCGUAGAGAUGUGGAGGAACACCAGUGGCGAAGGCGACUCUCUGGUCUGUAACUGACGCUGAGGAGCGAAAGCGUGGGGAGCGAACAGGAUUAGAGACCCCGGUAGUCCUUGUCUCUUAUAC